GUACUUUCCCUCCAUGCAACACAAAAUACCUCUAGUUUUGUUUUCCUCCAGCUGUGCUCCAUUUUCAGGGCUGCUCUCUUUAGUGUUCGAGUGAACUGAAAAGAUGG